UACGAAGGGUGCAAGCGUUAAUCGGAAUUACUGGGCGUAAAGGGUGCGUAGGCGGUUCGUUAAGUCUGUCGUGAAAUCCCCGGGCUCAACCUGGGAAUGGCGAUGGAUACUGGCGAGCUAGAGUGUGUCAGAGGAUGGUGGAAUUCCCGGUGUAGCGGUGAAAUGCGUGGAGAUCGGGAGGAACAUCAGUGGCGAAGGCGGCCAUCUGGGACAACACUGACGCUGAAGCACGAAAGCGUGGGGAGCAAACAGG
rnacentral:rRNA from 1 species